UACGUAGGGGGGCUAGCGUUGUCCGGAAUCAUUGGGCGUAAAGCGCGUGUAGGCGGUCCGGUAAGUCCGCUGUGAAAGUCGAGGGCUCAACCUCGAAUGCCGGUGGAUACUGUCGGGCUUGAGUACGGGAGAGGCGAGUGGAAUUCCUGGUGUAGCGGUGAAAUGCGCAGAUAUCAGGAGGAACACCGAUUGCGAAGGCAGCUCGCUGGAACGUUACUGACGCUGAGACGCGAAAGCGUGGGGAGCGAACAGG
rnacentral:rRNA from 1 species